rnacentral:rRNA from 1 species
CGCUGAACUGAAACAUCUAAGUAGGCGGAGGAGAAGAAAACAAAAGUGAUUCCCAGAGUAGUGGCGAGCGAAAUGGGAGGAGCCCAAACCUGUAUUGUUUCGGCAAUGCAGGGGUUGUAGGACUGCGAUAUUUGCUGUUUAUCGAAUUAGAACACCUUGGAAAAGCGUGACCAUAGAGGGUGAUAGUCCCGUAUAGGUAAGAUAAAUAAGUAAUAGCAGUAUCCUGAGUAGGGCGGGGCACGUGGAACCCUGUCUGAAUUUGCCGGGACCAUCCGGUAAGGCUAAAUACUCCUGAGAGACCGAUAGUGGACUAGUACCGUGAGGGAAAGGUGAAAAGCACCGUGAAUAACGGAGUGAAAUAGACCCUGAAACCAUACGCUUACAAGCGGUCGGAGCAGCAUUAGCUGUGACGGCGUGCCUUUUGCAUAAUGAGCCUACGAGUUACUGUUACCAGCGAGGAUAAGUAUUUCAGAUACGAAUCCGCAGCGAAAGCGAGUCUGAAUAGGGCGGUAAUAGUUGGUAGUAGUAGACGCGAAACCUGGUGAUCUACCCUUGGGCAGGUUGAAGCACUGGUAACACAGUGUGGAGGACCGAACUGGUUGUCGUUGAAAAGACUUCGGAUGACCUGAGGGUAGGGGUGAAAGGCCAAUCAAACUGGGAAAUAGCUCGUACUCCCCGAAAUGCAUUUAGGUGCAGCGUUGUAAUAAAGUUUAAUAGAGGUAGAGCUACUGAUUGGAUGCGGGGGUUUCACCGCCUACCAAUUCCUGACAAACUCCGAAUGCUAUUAAAUGCUUUACAGCAGUGAGGGCUUGGGUGCUAAGGUCCAAGUCCGAGAGGGAAAGAACCCGGACCAUCAGCUAAGGUCCCCAAAUAUAUGCUAAGUUGACCAAACGCGGUCUGACUGCACUGACAGCUAGGAUGUUGGCUUGGAAGCAGCCAUACAUUUAAAGAGUGCGUAACAGCUCACUAGUCGAGCGGUUGGGCAUGGAUAAUAAACGGGCAUAAGCAUAUUACCGAAGCUAUGGGGUUAUUACUUAAGUAAUAUACCGGUAGGGGAGCAUUCUAUAGGCGUUGAAGCUAAAGGCGUGAGCCAUAGUGGAGCCUGAUAGAAAAGAAAAUGUAGGCAUAAGUAACGAUAAGGCAGGCGAGAAACCUGCCCGCCGAAAGAUCAAGGUUUCCUCAGCUAUGCUAAUCAGCUGAGGGUUAGUCGGGGACUAACGCGAACCCUUUCAGGGGAAGUGGAUGUACAACGGGUUAAUAUUCCCGUACUAGUAUUUCAAUAAAAGUGACGGAAUGAGAUAUACACUGCGCACAGACGGAGUUGCGUUGAAGGGACUGUUAUGGUUCUGAUAGUACGCUGAGGCCACGGCCGAGGUGAUAAUGUGUAGACAACGUUUCCAAGAAAAGCGAGAGAUACUACCCGUACCGUAAACCGACACAGGUGAUUGGGAAGAGAAUUCUAAGGCGCUCGAGAGAUUCAUGGCUAAGGAACUAGGCAAAAUAGACCUGUAACUUCGGGAGAAAGGUCGCCUAUCGUAAGAUAGGCCGCAGUGAAAAGGUCCAAGCGACUGUUUAUCAAAAACACAGGACUCUGCAAAAUCGAAAGAUGAGGUAUAGGGUCUGACACCUGCCCGGUGCUGGAAGGUUAAGAGGAGGGCUUAGCGUAAGCGAAGGUCUGAAUUGAAGCCCCAGUAAACGGCGGCCGUAACUAUAACGGUCCUAAGGUAGCGAAAUUCCUUGUCGGGUAAGUUCCGACCUGCACGAAUGGUGUAACGAUUUGGACACUGUCUCGGCCAUGAGCUCGGUGAAAUUGUAGUAUCGGUGAAGAUGCCGAUUACCCGCAGUGGGACGAAAAGACCCUGUGCACCUUUACUAUAUCUUCGUAUUGGUCUUGGAUAAGUGAUGCGUAGGAUAGGUGGGAGACUAAGAAGCGGCUAUUCCGGUAGUUGUGGAGUCAUUGUUGAAAUACCACCCUUUGCUUAUCUGAGGUCUAACUUUGCACAAGGCAAAGGACAAUUCGUGGAGGGUAGUUUGACUGGGGUGGUCGCCUCCAAAAGUGUAACGGAGGCUUCUAAAGGU